AGCAGCCGCGGUAAUUCCAGCUCCAAUAGCGUAUAUUAAAGUUGUUGCAGUUAAAAAGCUCGUAGUUGAAUUUCGGGGCCAGUAGGUUGGUCGUGCCACUGGUAUGCACUGGCCUUACUGGUCCCUCCUUCUUGUAGAACCGUGAUGCCAUUAAUUUGGUGUUGCGGGGAAACAGGACUGUUACUUUGAAAAAUUAGAGUGCUUAAAGCAGGCUCGCGCUUGAAUACAUUAGCAUGGAAUAACGGAAUAGGACGAUCGAACCUAUUUUGUUGGUUUCUAGGAUCGACGUAAUGAUUAAUAGGGAUAGUUGGGGGCAUUAGUAUUCAAUUGUCAGAGGUGAAAUUCUUGGAUUUAUUGAAGACUAACUACUGCGAAAGCAUUUGCCAAGGAUGUUUUCAUUAAUCAAGAACGAAAGUUAGGGGAUCGAAGACGAUCAGAUACCGUCGUAGUCUUAACCAUAAACUAUGCCGACUA
rnacentral:rRNA from 1 species